rnacentral:rRNA from 1 species
CCAAGGUCGGGGCGGGGGCGGGGGUAACACGUAGGGGGGGUGGGUUGUGCGGAUUUAUUGGGGGUAAAGGGCGCUUGGGGGGUUCGGUAAGUCGGGUGUGAAAACUCAAGGCUCAACCUUGAGAGGGCACCCGAUACUGCGGUGACUAGGGGCCGGUAUGGGAGCGUGGAAUUCCUGGUGUAGCGGUGAAAUGCGCAGAUAUCAGGAGGAACACCAGCGGCGAAGGCGGCGCUCUGGGCCGGAACUGACGCUGAGGAGCGAAAGCGUGGGGAGCGAACAGGAUUAGAUACUCGGGUAGUC